AGAUGGAUGAUGAUUCCCACAAAGGCAACCUUGAAAAUCUGACAAAAUGAAUUAUCAAUCCUUAUCAUGUUCUCUUUGGAACUAAGGUCC
ensembl:snoRNA SNORD116 Small nucleolar RNA SNORD116